UUCCCUCACACUUUUCACUCAGCUACCCAAGAUGGCGGCAGCCCCAUCCAUCCAGCCGCCGAGCGUUCACUCUUCUAUAGCCGGGGAAAGCGCACUUUCCCCGGAGAUGGACAGCCCCGAGAGCAGGCAACCGGAGGAUAAGGAGGCGGCGGCAGCAACAACAACACAGCCCUCCGACUCGGAGAUUAGCCUCCGCGACCUGCCAGACCUGGAGCCGGAGGAGAUCGAGAGGAGGCUGGCCAAAACUCGACAAGAGCUGAGCAACAGGAGGAAAAUCCUCAUUAAGAACCUGCCGCCUGACACCACUAACCAGGAAGUCCACGAGAUUCUGAAAGAAUAUGAACUGAAGUACUGCUUUGUGGACCGUAACAAAGGCACAGCCUUUGUGACUUUGCUGAACGGGGACCAGGCUCAGGAUGCCAUCCGCUCCCUCCAUCACAGCACUGUUCGGGGACGCUUGAUCAACGUCACGCUGCAGCCCACCGACUCCCUUCUCUGCCUCACCAACCUGCCCCACACCUUCACUGCCCAGCAGUUAGAGGAGCUGGUACGUGCCUAUGGGAACAUCGAACGCUCCUUCCUGGUGUACAGCGAGCUGACGGGCCACUCCAAAGGAUAUGGGUUUGUUGAAUACAUGAAGAAGGAUUCUGCUUCACGGGCCCGUUCUGAGCUGCUGGGCCGACCACUGGACGAUCGCUCAUUGAUGGUGCAGUGGAUGGACGUCAACCAGCUGAGCCAAGAGGAGAACCUGCACUCGAAGUGUCUCUGUAUAAACCGGCUGCCGCUGGACCUCUGUGACUCUGAAGAACUGACCCAGCUCUUCUCGGAAACCUACAAACCUGUCUUCUGCCAGCUUGCUCAGGAUGAGGGCAGCCCAGUGCGAGGCUUCGGUGUGGUGGAGUAUGAGAACUCGGAGCAGGCGGAGGCUGUGCUGAUAGAGAUGGACCGAACACUGGUGGGAGGACAGGAGGUCCGUCUGUCACUCUGUACCCCCGGCACCUCAGGGAGAAGCACCCUGGCUGCACUCAUCGCCGCCCAGGGUAUGAUUCUGAGUAAUAGGAAAGGUCUGCUACCAGAACCCAACCUCGCCCAGCUGUUAACCAGUGUGACCAACCCUGCUGCCCUGCAGAUCCUCAUGAGGCCGUACCACACUGGGAAAAGAGGAGGGAAGUACGGACGUCACACCAGCCUGCCAUUCCUCAGACCUCCUCUCACCACAGCUCUGCUCACACUGGGAAAAGCACACCAGAAUGCUAUGCUGGGUAAUGGACUAGUCCUCCAGAACCUCUUGCACAUGCAGCUCGCACAGCAACAGCUUCUUCACAUCAAAGACAAACGCCUCAGCAACGUCUCCAGUCUGCUUGGGAACCCGUCCAGGCUGCUGAUGCAGAAAGCUUUGUCUCUGCGGCCUCCAGGCCUUGUGUCGCUGGGGAAAGGCCUCCUGGGAGACUCCCCAACAGAGCUGGGCCAGGAGUCAAUGCCAUCCCACAAUGCCACAGUAGUGGUAUCAGCAGCAGGUGUGAUGCCAUACCUCCAGGGUCGAGCUGGAGGGGGAGAACUAAACAGCACCCAUUCUAUCUCCACAAACCCUUCUGCUUCCUCUUCUUCUUCCUCCUCCAUCUCCUGUGACAGGCAGCCAGCUCCUCCCGGGACCAUGGUGAGCUCCCAUCUGCAGGAACAGUGCUAUUCCUUGGGUUUAAGUCACUCAGGCCUCGGUCCACCUCCACCUAAACCCCCUGGAGGAGUUUAUACGUCAACAGGCCAGCGCCACAGCUCAGAUGGCUGCCCCCUGGCUAGCAUGGUAAGCAGUGGUCAGGGCUCUCUGCUGGGCGAUCCUCCUAAAGAAGUGAGACUGCCCUCCAAUCCUUAUCUCAACCUGGCCAGUGUCAUGCCAGGGAUGGUUAUGCAAGGGUCAGUGGGGAGUAAAGCACAGGGAGGACAGCCUGGCUCUGGGGUUUACGGCAGCUCGGUUGCUCCCGUCGUCUCCCAGGGUUCUGGCUCCUUCUCCCACAACGCAACAGCUACAACCACAGCUCAAUACAGCACUGAUACCUCCACUGAUUACAGCCAGUACAACCAGGCCUACACACAGGAGGCCAUGCAGCAGUGGUACCAGCACUACCAAGCUCAAGCUCAAGCUCAAGCUCAAGCUCAAGCUCACAACUACAGCACAGCUGCUCAGCAGGACAACACUGCCACAGACUACAGCAAGGAGCACACACAGGCUCCUCCGGUGACGACCUAUGGGGAUUACAGUUCCUACAUGCAGGCAGUCACUCAGUACUACUCCCAGCCUGCAACAGCCAACCAGGCCUACGCCAGCAAGGAGGUAGAUGUGUGUAAGCCUCUAGGAGUCUCUCUGCACACAGUCAGUAACGGCGCCGCCCCUCCCCCGGCCGUCCUACCAGCUGCUGCCGUGCUCCCAGCCUACAGCACCCUGCCAUUAAUGCCCGGCUUCCUGGGCGCGCCACACCCGGCGGCGGCCACGCCAAGCCCCGUCACACACACACACACUGCCGCCACUGACUGGAACACCUACUACUAUAACCAGACGAGGGGCCAUAAAAGGGAGUACCCUCAGCUGGCGGUGCAGGAAGUGACAUCAUCAGAUGGCGCUUACAUCGGGCAGCACUCCCAAGGCCUGGGAGGGCAGUACGCUGACUACUUUAAGAGGAAGAGGCUCUAGUAUGAACCAAACCACCUUAAAGCCUAAAGCUUAUGGAAGGAGGCGCGCACACACACACUGCGUCUGUUGGAUGUCACAGCUCCCUCUAGUGGCCUUUCUGUGGCUGCCAUUUUGCAUCCCUACAGUAAUGGGGGUAAGGAGAGACAGGCUGAAAGAAAGAGAGGAAUGGAAAAACAACUCCAGCUGCCUUCACCCGCUCAGCCUGCAGGGAUUUCUUCUUCUAUUUUUUUUUCUUACAAUUUUUGUAGUUGUGUGUCUUUCUCCCUUUUCUGUCUGCUUGGCCAGUGAUGAGUGUUGUUUAUGUCUGCCAGACUCCUGCAUGUUGCACGUACCUGUAGAGCUGUCACACACACACACACACACACACACACACACACACACACACACACACACACACACACACACACACACACACACACUGUAUAUGUCUCCUCUGCUCUCGUAUUUGUAUUAACUGGAUGCUCGCACAACUUCUCCCAGUGUGAUCCAAAUCUAUAUGAAUACAGGACACUGUACACUGUAAAAACAAUGACAGUUCUCUUCUUUUUUUUUACUGCAGGCCAAAUAACAAACAAAGCCCCCCCCCCCUUGUUGCAUGUGAUGUCGUACGCCCGUCCUCUCUCUAGGGGUGUUUUGUUUUUAGGCUGUACCAGAAUGUGAAAGUGUUCUUAUAGAUAUCUAAUCUAAAUAUAUAUCUUCCCAUGAAUCUGGAACAUGCUUGACAUUAUAUAAAAGUGAAGUUGGGGCCUGAGAUUGACACUGGGAUUAAGUUGUUUAUACUGUAUGUUGGCAAGGGCUGCCGAAUGCUAAAACACCAUGAGUUUUGGUCUUCAGUCUUAAAAGAAAACACCGUUAUAGGCUACAUCCCUCUCUGACAGCUAAUGUCAUAUGAGAAGAAAAUCUUGACACUUUUUGUCAUUUCAUCACAUCACCUACAAUUUCUUUUGGGAUGUUUUCUAAUGGCUAACUUGUCCCAUGCAAUCAGUUUUUCUUUGGAAAUAGAAGCUUGUACUUGCUUGGUUUGGUAUCACAGGUAGGUCUGUGGCUGUGCUGCAAGUCCCAAAUGAUCAGCUUUUCUUAAUGCACAUUUGCAUUUCUGGUUCUAAGCUUUUGAAUAGUCUUUAGUCUCCACUGUUUAUUUUUUAACAAAGGACUGCUUUGGAUAUAUCAAAUGAUGGAUAUAUCUUUAAUUUAACUAAUAUUGCAAUACUAUCUUUAUAACUGCCUCCCACAGUUUCAGUAUGAUAGUAUUAAAGUAUGUAUAUGUCACUUAAUAUCAGCCCCUUUCUUUAUGAAGAAAUGUUGAAUGGUUGGACUCUAUUAUUUUGUUGUGCCUCUCUGUGCCAUCAACUAGCUGUGACGUCCUCAUGAUGAUUGUACACAAAGGGGCCUGAUAUCCCUGAAGUAACACAGCACAACGAAGCCUGCAUACGCACAGGGCGAAGGAUGCUCUUGAAUCUUGUGUAACGCUGGUAAUCUUAACCUGUUAGUGAGCCAGCUGCAGUUCAGGGCAAAUUCUGUUUUUGUGUAAAUGCAGCCCAUUUCUUUUGUUUUGGUCUUUAGUUGUAGAAAUAUGAUAUUGACAUGAAAAUGCAGUCCGUUUUAUUUUUCGAGUGUUCAUUUACAUCACAACAGAAAAUCUUACUUGUAGUCUUGUGUAGUUUAGUUGUAACAUAUAUAAUUUUUUUUUUUAUAGCUGAAUCACUUCAGGUUAAAAACCAGAUCUUUCUGUUCUGUGUAAACGGAGCCUCCUCUAAGCUUCAGUGUGUUGCCAUUGUACCAGUACGCAGUCCGCGUAUUACAGUGUCAGUGGUGAGGCUGGACUUAGCAAUAGUAAGUGUGUGUGUGUGUGUGUGUGUGUGUGAGACAAAGCUCUGCAAAGUAUUUCUGAUUUUCUGACAUGUUUUGUAGAUUAAACUAGAUUUGCUGUGCUUCUUGCUUUGUAAACUGUUUUUUUUUUUGCUUUUUAAGUAUGUGGAUUUUAGUCUCACCUGAAACAUACUGUAGAUUUUGCAACAUUUUAUAUCACACUGACAUUGCUAUUGUUUUACUGUGAAUAAGGUAAUUCUAGAGCAAUUUUAGCAUGCCUACUUACAACUGUAAUAUAUGGAACAAACUGUUUUUAGUAGUUAAUAUAUUGCAUUUGGACUGACAGAACACGACAAACAUUGAUUUUAUUUAUUUUUUCAUGGUUACCUUCCAUAAUUCAUACUUUUGUCUUAUUUUUUGAAAAAUAUAUAAAUUUCUUUUCUCUUAUUUUGAGCAGAAGGAAUUGUCUUUUACAUUCCUAAAUAAAAUGUGGACUAAAGCGCAA